rnacentral:rRNA from 1 species
GAUGAACGCUGGCGGCGUGCCUAAUACAUGCAAGUCGAGCGAACGGACGAGAAGCUUGCUUCUCUGAUGUUAGCGGCGGACGGGUGAGUAACACGUGGAUAACCUACCUAUAAGACUGGGAUAACUUCGGGAAACCGGAGCUAAUACCGGAUAAUAUUUUGAACCGCAUGGUUCAACAGUGAAAGACGGUCUUGCUGUCACUUAUAGAUGGAUCCGCGCUGCAUUAGCUAGUUGGUAAGGUAACGGCUUACCAAGGCAACGAUGCAUAGCCGACCUGAGAGGGUGGUCGGCCACACUGGAACUGAGACACGGACCUGACUCCUACGGGAGGCAUCAGUAGGGAAUCUGCCGCAAUGGGCGAAAGCCUGACGGAGCAACGCGGCGUGAGUGAUGAAGGUCUUCGGAGCGUAAAACUCUGUUAUUAGGGAAGAACAUAUGUGUAAGUAACUGUGCACAUCUUGACGGUACCGAAUCAGAAAGCCACGGCUAACUACGUG